UAAAAAAAAAAAAAGAUUCGAGUAUUUUGCCAAAUUUGAAGGUGGAGUAUUUGCCAAAUGUGAAGGGGGUUUUCAUAAUUUAUCUUAUUAUCUUGCUGAGUGCUGAGUAGAAAGGCUGAUAUUGAAGAAAUGCUGCCAUUUGGUAUUCACGUGGUUAAUUAGCAAAAGUUCCAGCAACUUAAUGAUUUAGUACUAGUUUUUAAGACUGAGUUUUUAAAAACUUUAAGUUGAUUUAAAGGAAAAUAAGUAUCGAG
rnacentral:misc_RNA from 1 species